ACCGCCCCCCGCCCCGCCCCGGCCCCGGCGGAGGGGAAGGGGAAGGGCCAUAAAGUCUCGCGGGAGAGCGCGGGAGGCGGUUUGAAAGAUGGCGGAUGAGGUGGACCAGCAACAAACUACAAAUACUGUAGAGGAGCCGCUUGAUCUCAUCAGGCUCAGUCUCGAUGAGCGAAUCUAUGUCAAAAUGAGGAAUGACAGAGAGCUCAGAGGCAGACUACAUGCAUAUGAUCAGCACUUAAAUAUGAUCUUGGGCGAUGUGGAAGAAACUGUAACUACAAUAGAGAUUGAUGAAGAAACCUACGAAGAGAUAUAUAAGUCUACCAAAAGGAAUAUUCCGAUGCUCUUUGUCAGAGGUGACGGCGUUGUGCUUGUAGCUCCCCCGUUGAGGGUUGGUUGAAGCAGCAGAGGAUUUAACCUUGUUGGAAAGUUUCAGGCUUUUGGACAAUGUGUAUCAGCACAGUUGGAAGAGGUCAGUUCACCUGACAUAGCUCACCUGAAUCCCUGUACAACUCUUCAAUUGUCUCAUUUGUCACCAUCUUUUGAAGCUUUGUGAGAUGUUAUGCAUGGUGAUUGCUCAAUUCUUGUCUCACUGAUUUCUUUAUAAUCUUUUACUAUCUGAUUUUAAAGUAUUUACUGUCUGAUUGUAAAGAUUAUUAUUAUAUUGCUGUCCAGUAGCAUCUCUUUAUACAGUUUGAAACGAGCUCUCCAGAGUGGGAGCCACCAUGAGCUCCUCUGUGCUGAGUGUGGAUUAAAACAAAAAUAAUCAUUUAAAAAGC